rnacentral:lncRNA from 10 species
UGCCCUCAUAAAAGAGAUCCUGGAGAGAUCCCUCUCUCGCCCUCUUUCCACCAAGUGAGGAUAUAAGAAGUCAGCCAUCUGGAAACUAGGGAGAGAACCCUCAUGGAACCUGACCAUGCCUGUACCUUAGACUGACCUUAGACUUCCAGCCCCCAGAAUUGAGUUUUUCAAAGCAUUCGUUGGCCUAUCUAGCAGGGACUGAGUGAGAUGGUACAUUGUAUAUUUAUCAAAAGAUGCUUCCAGUUUCACCUUGGCCUGGGCAACUGCAGACAGUCUUCUUGGAUGAUGCUUGUGACUCUUCCCGCAACACCUGAGUGGCCCCUCAUGGUUGGGUACAUGGGUCCCAAAGCUGAGCCUGAAGUCGAUGCUGGGAACUGAGUCACCAAGGGCAUGGAUGCUUCCAUCAAGGCAGACAAGAUUUAAAAACCUAGUUUCAGUGGCACUAAUGAGACCAAUAGCAAACCCAA